AAAUGCAUUUUCACUUAUGAAAAUGUAGUUUGAGAAACACAACUCCACAUUAACCGUACCAUGAAACAAUGUCAAAAGAGGUCAGAAUGUAAAACAACAAAACUGGAAACUAAGUCUGUCACUUCAACUAAUUGAUCAAAAGAAAUAACCAAAACAUAGUAAGGAAAUUGUUCAGAAGCAUCUAUUGUAUCACCACACCCUUCAACUUUAUGUCAUGUCUUGUGUUGCACGGCACUAGGUUGAAAUCCAUAUCAUACGCUUCAAUCAAAUUCUUGCAUUCAUGUUUGAAAAGCUAUCAUUCAGCCAUCACAUCAAUUUAUAUAAAAUCUAAUUUCAUUACAUAUUACAUAUAAAAUCUAUCAAAUCGAGCGACUUUGAUGAAUCCCUUAUUUGUUGAGUGAUGGAACCAAAUGACAAUCAGCGUUUCGGGGUUGCCAAGCGUAACGUCAACCUUUUGUUGCUCCCAUACCAACCCCAUAGAAAAACGAGGAUCUGAAUCAACGGUGUGUGGUAUGUUUUCAACUUUUUGCUUAUUCUUGUUCGAACACAAAUUUGUAUUGCAAGUUGGUGAUCCAUUGUCUGUUUGAAUCUGGAACUGUCCCUUCAACAACAACAACAAUGGUUUACAAUUUUCUUUGUGGAUUGUUGUAGUCACCUACGGUUAGGGUUUUUAUAUGGAAUACGGAGCCCUAAUCAUGGAAAAAUGACGAUCUUAAAAUCGAUAUAUUGAAUGAAACAAAUGUUAAUCUGCUUUAUUAAUGUUUGGGAUGGUUUUUGGGAUUUCUUUGGGGGAGGAUUCGUG
rnacentral:lncRNA from 1 species